CUUCAGCGAACCCAGGUAGAGCGGACGGCCCUCCGGGCGCUCCUGCCCGUAGGUCGCCAGGAGCGCCUGCGCCUC
rnacentral:antisense_RNA from 1 species